ACGAGGGUGACAGGUGGUGCAUGGUUGUCGUCAGCUCGUGUCGUGAGAUGUUGGGUUAAGUCCCGCAACGAGCGCAACCCUCGACCUUAGUUGCCAGCAUUCAGUUGGGCACUCUAAGGUGACUGCCGGCUAAAAGUCGGAGGAAGGUGGGAUGACGUCAAAUCAUCAUGCCCCUUAUGACCUGGGCUACACACACGCUACAAUGGCCAACACAAUAGGUUGCUAAGCCGCGAGGUGGCGCCAAUCCAUAAAGUUGGUCUCAGUUCAGAUUGUAGGCUGCAACCCGCCUGCAUGAAGAUGGAGUUGCUAGUAACCGCAGGUCAGCUAUACUGCGGUGAAUACGUUCCCGGGGCUU
rnacentral:rRNA from 1 species